rnacentral:rRNA from 1 species
CCUACGGGGGGCAGCAGUGAGGAAUAUUGGUCAAUGGGCGCGAGCCUGAACCAGCCAAGUAGCGUGAAGGAUGACUGCCCUACGGGUUGUAACCUUCUUUUAUAAAGGAAUAAAGUGAGGCACGUGUGCCUUUUUGUAUGUACUUUAUGAAUAAGGAUCGGCUAACUCCGUGCCAGCAGCCGCGGUAAUACGGAGGAGCCGAGCGUUAUUCGGAUUUAUUGGGAUUAAUGGGAGCGUAGAUGGGUUGUUAAGUCAGUUGUGAAAGUUUGCGGCUCAACCGUAAAAUUGCAAUUGAUACUGGCAGUCUUGAGUACAGUUGAGGUAAGCGGAAUUCGUGGUGUAGCGGUGAAAUGCUUAGAUAUCACGAAGAACUCCGAUGGCGAAGGCAGCUUACUAAACUGCCACUGACAUUGAUGCUCGAAAGUGUGGGUAUCAAACAGGAUUAGAUACCCGAGUAGUC